rnacentral:rRNA from 1 species
UACAGAGGUGGCAAGCGUUGUUCGGAAUUACUGGGCGUAAAGGGCGCGUAGGUGGCCUUCUAAGUUGAACGUGAAAUCCCUGGGCUCAACCCAGGAACUGCGUCCAAGACUGGGAGGCUUGAAUCCGGGAGAGGGAUGCGGAAUUCCAGGUGUAGCGGUGAAAUGCGCAGAUAUCAGGAGGAACACCGGUGGCGAAGGCGGAUCUCUGGGCCUGUCCUGACGCUCAGGCGCGAAAGCUAGGGGAGCAAACAGG